CAUUUUAUUUCUACAACUUUCAUUUUAAACCCAAAACAAAUUAUAUACCAGCCCCUACACGCCAAAUUAUUAUUAAAUAUGCUUGGUCUAGAUUUAAAUUGGAAUUGGAGACAACAGACAAGCACACGAAAACAACCAUUAAAAUGUGUUUUACUACGUCGCAUCGCAUCGUCAAUCUUCAUUCACAAUUGACAAACGAAGUCACCAUUGACGGGAUUUUUGCAGUUAAAUUAAGUGUGAUCAGACACUCCUCUACUCAUCUUUAAAGACAUUAAAUUCCUAGAAUCUUGGACUUCCGUAACAAAUUUUGAUUUAGAAAAAAAUUAAACACACAACUUUCAAGGACAUCAAGUUAAAUAACAGAGAGGUGUUGGAGGUAAUGAUGUUGUUUUGUAGUUUUUUUUUUGCUAUUCUGUGGUGGAUUUGUAUUUAUUAUUUUAUAAAUAAAUGUACUGAAUUAUUUGUAUUAUUUAUAUUAAUUGCUGAUUUAAUAAAUCAAACAUGUUUGUUUAUUUUUGUUAUCAUA